rnacentral:snRNA from 1 species
GAUGGGGUCAACGGGCUAACAAGAAGGCCCGUGGCCUAGACUGGUGACCUUCAUGGCACUUGGGAAGGGAUGUCUAUCUAAGGUCUCCUCUAGUAGGAGAUCCUACGUU